AAGGCUUUUGCUCCCGCCGCUGCCUGCCGACGUCAUCGAGGAGGCAGUCGGGGUCGGCUGUUGAGCGAGGACGGGGAUCGGGAGGCGGAGCGGGGACCGCGGCGCUGCUGGCGGCGCUUGGAGAAGACAUGGCGGAAGACGGUUGAAGGGGCGUCGAGGAUGUUCAUUGAGAAGCACUGCAAUACGCAUGUCCGUCUCAUAAGUGAUAUGGUUUAGAGAAUGAAGAAACAUCUUUCUCGUCUCUUUUUCUUUUUCUUUUUCCUUUCUGCUUUUUCUUUUUUGUUUUGUCAAUAAUUUGUAAGCAGUUCUAUGAUAAAGAUUAUAUCUAUCUUUUAGGGUGGUUGAUCUUACAAUUGCACGAACCAGUGUUAUUGUUUUAAUUUAUUUGUUGACUAUUUCAGAUUUUCUAGCUGCGGAAGCCACUUUGAAUUGAA